rnacentral:rRNA from 1 species
CGGAGGAUGCGAGCGUUAUCCGGAUUCAUUGGGUUUAAAGGGUGCGUAGGCGGACUAUUAAGUCAGUGGUGAAAUCCUGCAGCUUAACUGCAGAACUGCCAUUGAUACUGAUAGCCUUGAGUUUGGUUAAGGUAGGCGGAAUGUGUAAUGUAGCGGUGAAAUGCUUAGAUAUUACACAGAACACCAAUUGCGUAGGCAGCUUACUGAGCCGACACUGACGCUGAGGCACGAAAGCGUGGGGAUCGAACAGGA